UUAUACAGCGAAACUGCGAAUGGCUCAUUAUAUAAGUUAUCGUUUAUUUGAUAGUACCUUACUACUUGGAUAACCGUGGUAAUUCUAGAGCUAAUACAUGCUAAAAAUCCCGACUUCGGAAGGGAUGUAUUUAUUAGAUUAAAAACCAAUGCCCUUCGGGGCUCACUGGUGAUUCAUAAUAACUUCUCGAAUCGCAUGGCCUUGCGCCGGCGAUGGUUCAUUCAAAUUUCUUCCCUAUCAACUUUCGAUGCUAGAGUAGUGUUCUAGCAUGGUUACAACGGGUAACGGAGGGUUAGGGCUCGACCCCGGAGAAGGAGCCUGAGAAACGGCUACUACAUCCAAGGAAGGCAGCAGGCGCGCAAAUUACCCAAUCCCGACUCGGGGAGGUAGUGACGAUAAAUACUGAUACAGGGCUCUUUUGGGUCUUGUAAUUGGAAUGAGUACAAUUUAAAUCCCUUAACGAGGAACAAUUGGAGGGCAAGUCUGGUGCCAGCAGCCGCGGUAAUUCCAGCUCCAAUAGCGUAUAUUAAAGUUGUUGUGGUUAAAAAGCUCGUAGUAGAACCUUGGGCCUGGCUGGCCGGUCCGCCUCACCGCGUGCACUGGUCCGGCCGGGCCUUUCCCUCUGUGGAACCGCAUGCCCUUCACUGGGUGUGCCGGGGAAACAGGACUUUUACUUUGAAAAAAUUAGAGUGCUCCAGGCAGGCCUAUGCUCGAAUACAUUAGCAUGGAAUAAUAGAAUAGGACGUGUGGUUCUAUUUUGUUGGUUUCUAGGACCGCCGUAAUGAUUAAUAGGGACAGUCGGGGGCAUCAGUAUUCAAUUGUCAGAGGUGAAAUUCUUGGAUUUAUUGAAGACUAACUACUGCGAAAGCAUUUGCCAAGGAUGUUUUCAUUUAUCAGGAACGAAAGUUAGGGGAUCGAAGACGAUCAGAUACCGUCGUAGUCUUAACCAUAAACUAUGCCGACUAGGGAUCGGACGAUGUUAUUUUUUGACUCGUUCGGCACCUUACGAGAAAUCAAAGUGCUUGGGCUCCA
rnacentral:rRNA from 1 species